UUUCCGUAGGUGAACCUGCGGGAGGAUCAUUAAAGAGUAAAGGUCUUCGGGCCCGUUCUCCAACCCUUUGUUUAUCUACCAUGUUGCUUUUGCGAGCCCUUCACACUACGGCCUGUAGUGUGGCUUUGAGCCAACUUAUGGCCCGUCCACGUCAAACAACCAAUCAAAGUCUUAAACGAAUUUUAUGUAUUAGUUAAAAAAUUAAUAAUUAACACUUUCAACAACGGAUCUCUUGGUUAUGGAAGCGAUGAAGGACGGAGCACACGGGAAAAGCACAGG
rnacentral:misc_RNA from 1 species